UACGGAGGGUGCAAGCGUUAUCCGGAUUCACUGGGUUUAAAGGGUGCGUAGGUGGGUUGGUAAGUCAGUGGUGAAAUCCCCGAGCUUAACUUGGGAACUGCCAUUGAUACUAUCAAUCUUGAAUACCGUGGAGGUUAGCGGAAUAUGUCAUGUAGCGGUGAAAUGCUUAGAUAUGACAUAGAACACCGAUUGCGAAGGCAGCUAACGAAACUAUAACUGACGCUGAGGCACGAAAGUGCGGGGAUCAAACAGG
rnacentral:rRNA from 1 species